UAAUGAGAAAAAAAACAGUUUGUAAAGCUUCUCAUACUUUAUUUUCACUGAAAGAGUAUUUCUUCAAUUUAUUCCAGACAUAUUUGAGUAAGUGUAUGUAUAAUUAUUUAAUUUCACUUAUGUUAAACAGAAACUUCUAUUUAGUUCUUUAUAUAAAGUGUUUCAAUUUUUUUUUUCUCAAUUUCAUUUGUAUUGUUAGUUAUUUGUUAUAUAUUAGUCAUAAAUAUUUUUACACAGUUAUUUAAAAGAUGUUGCUGUUCAGACUGACAAUUUUCCUUUCAAAAUGUGGAAAGUUAUAAAAACAUAAGAAAGUCUUGAGAAAUCAAAUUCAUUUAGGUAAAAACGUCUGAAUUCUUUGGAAAAUAUCUAGACUUUUUUGUAUGUUAAUUUUAUUAUAAUGUAAUGAAAAUGUAAACAAGACCUUCUAUUUACCAAUCUUGUACAUUUGUGAUUUUUUUUAAAAAUAGAUGUAAUUUUUGCCUUUAAAAGUUUUACUGUUAAAGAAUUUUUUUUUUCCCAUGAAAAAGUUCUUAUGCGCGUAUUACCGUGUACAUUUUUAAUAUUUAACGAAAAAUAUAUCAUUUUUACUUUUUUUCAGCUAGUUAUUUAUAAAGUUUAUUUUUUCUUUCUUAAAUUUAACCGUAAAUAAUAUAAUUAUAGUAUCUAUUAAUAAAUGAUAUAGCUUGAAUACUAUUACUCUACUCGUGUAUCAUAUAAUUAUUUUUUGUAUCAAAAUUAAACUUAUUCUUCUGCAAUUUUUUUUUUAUUUAUUUAUUAAAUCUGUAAAAAUGCAAUGUCAAAUCUAUAAAAAUAUUUUAAAAUUAGUUGAUAUAACUUGUUUAACUAAAAUAUUACAUUCUUUUUAUUUGAAUUGAUAACUUUUUGACUUAUUAUUUAUUUUGUAAAUAAAUAUAAUUUUAAAUACUUCAAGUUAUAUUUAUAUAAGUCCAAGUUUUUUGUAGUAAUAGUUGCGACUAUUACUACAUUAUUUCAAGUAAGGAAUCUUGCUUCUGUCUAUUAAUACUUUGCAAAAGAUAUCUUGAUAUGACUAUUACAAUGUUUGUAUUAUUCCUGUAAAUAUCAAAAUAUAUAUCGUUUGUUACAUUUCUUUAGUCAAUCACUGCUGAUAAAAAGCGGUGAACGAAAACCAUGAAAGGGUGCAUUGACUAUUUAAAAAAAUUAUUUCUUUGUGCAAUUUUUAAUUUAAUUGAAAAUUGUUUUGUAAUUAUUAGUGAGGAAAAGUACUGUAAAAAAAAGUUACUGCUGUACGAGACUUUUUUUUUUUUUUGUAAAAGUAUUUUGUUUCUAAUUUUCUGUUAAUUCAUAGACUUAUUUAGAAGAAUCCUAAAUUUAAUUCUCACUGGUUAUGUUUGUGAACCAUUAGUACUUUAGUUGAUUAAAAAUAUAUGUGCAAUUAGAUAAUCAAAUGUCUUGUUAGUUUGUUUUUGAAGUGAACUCUUUUCUUAGUGUUAAGAUUAUUCGUAUAUUGUGUAUUUCCAUUUCUUAAUCAUAUUUAUUUCUAUUAAUUAAAAUGCAAUGAAAAAAUCAAAUUAAAUGCAGAUUUUGUGUGGGUCUCUUUUUGUUGGUAUUUUUUCCGAUGAUAUGUGGGCAGUUUUUUUAAUCACUCUUAAAAAUUCUUAAAUGUAAGUCCUAAUAAUUAAAAUUUAACCAACAGUGAUCUUUUGAUAUUUAAUUAAUAUCCUUAUAUGUGUCAUUACAUAAUAAUCAGAUUAAUUUAAAAACAUUUUAUCCUUCCAAUGUUUGUGUUAUAUGUAUUAAUUAAAAACUAUUAAGUGCCUGAGACUAUAUUUAGGAAUAUAGUGAGUUAAUUUUUCUUAAACUGGUUAAUUUACAGAUUGACACCUGAGCAUUCUUUUUGUUUCAUUUUCAAAAUUUUUGUUUAAAAUACAUAGAAAAUUUGUCUUUACUGUACAAUAGUUUCAAUAUUACUAAAACUGGAUUAUGAUAAUUAUGAUGUUUAAGCCUCAUAUUAAUGAGCUUCAAAAAAAAUUCUGCUGGCAGAAUAUAUUUUAGUACAUUUGCUAAUGAAAGGAAUAUUCCGUAGUACAUUCUUUUUCAUUAACUUAUGACAAAUGUAAAUGAAUAGAAAAUAAAAACUUAAAAUUGUUAAGUUUCAUAGGUUUGUUUUUCUUAAAAUUUGUAUUAAUUAAUUGGAAUGUAAACAUUGCAUAUCUUUUGGAUUUAAAUAUAUAACUACUAAUAAAUUGUUUAAAUUUACAAUUGACUUGCAGUCAUCCUUUGUCUGAGAUUAUUUAUAUUUUUAUUAUUAUUAGUAGUAACUAAUCAUUUUUAUGCUUAUUUAUGUCUUACAAAUGGAUACUUUUUAAUUUUUAUAAAAUAUCAAGUUGUGGUAUUAUCAGUAAUCUAGAAUUUAAAAAAGAACAUAUCUAUUUCAUAUCUAUCACUUUCAUAAAUAAACUAUCCAUGCAUCAUCUAUUUCAUAUGCAUCAAUAAACUAUCUGUUUCAUAUGCACUUUAAUUUUUUAUUAAAUAUUUAUUUUCAGCUUUUCUAUUCUGUUUCUUAUUUUAAAGUACAAAUCGAGCUUUUUUCCAGCUGUUGAAAUGGUUUGGUAGUUACAAUUAUCAUUGUAUAUUCAGUAUUUCAUUAUAGAUGUUUAAUAGCUCUCAACACACUACAAACCUAAACUUGUUUAUCAUUAAGGACCUGGAUACUGAUUGGUAGCGUUAUUUCAAGAGUGAUUAUGUAGUGUGUAUAAUCAAGUUUUUAAACAAACAGUAAAGUGGCUACAAUGUGAUCAAUGCUCUUACUCUAAUAGUUGCA